rnacentral:tRNA from 1 species
GCCUAGCUGGCUUAGUUGGUAAAGCACAUGACUCUUGAUCUCAGGGUUGUGAGUUCAAGCCCCAUAUUGGGCA